AGUGAACGCUGGCGGUAGGCCUAACACAUGCAAGUCGAACGGCAGCACAUUAAUCGCUUUCUCGGACGGCUGCCGACGGGCGGGCGGUUGGUGGGUACCUCCCAAUUUACUUGUUCGUGCGUGGUGACGCAGGCGCUCUUACGGCAUUACCCCAUCCGGCCUACGUGUGAAAGCACAAGACCUUCGGCCGUUACACGAUUGAACGAGCCGAUGUCGGAUUAGCUAGUUGGCGGGGUAAAGGCCCACCAAGGCGACGAUCCGUAGCUGGUCUGAGAGGAUGAUCAGCCACACUGGAACUGAGACACGGUCCAGACUCCUACGGGAGGCAGCAGUGGGGAAUAUUGGACAAUGGGCGCAAGCCUGAUCCAGCCAUGCCGCGUGUGUGAAGAAGGCCUUCGGGUUGUAAAGCACUUUUGUUCGGAAAGAAAAGCUGUCGGCUAAUACCCGGCGGUUAUGACGGUACCGGAAGAAUAAGCACCGGCUAACUUCGUG
rnacentral:rRNA from 1 species